rnacentral:misc_RNA from 1 species
AAGUCGUAGCAAGGUCUCCGUAGGUGAACCUGCGGAGGGAUCAUUACCAAAGAUGGCGGGCCCCCGGGCCCCCGUCCCCAACCCUUUGUUGACCCAAAAUCUUUUUGCCUCGGGGGCGGAGCGUCCGCCGCCGCCCCCGGAGGACCACCGAACGCUGUCUCUUUACGUCGGAGUAUUGAUUAAAUGAAUGAAAA